UACGUAGGGGGCUAGCGUUGUCCGGAAUCAUUGGGCGUAAAGAGCGUGUAGGCGGCCCGGUAAGUCCGCUGUGAAAGUCGAGGGCUCAACCCUCGAAUGCCGGUGGAUACUGUCGGGCUUGAGUACGGGAGAGGCGAGUGGAAUUUCUGGUGUAGCGGUGAAAUGCGCAGAUAUCAGGAAGAACACCAAUGGCGAAGGCAGCUCUCUGGGACGGUACUGACGCUGAGACGCGAAAGCGUGGGGAGCGAACAGG
rnacentral:rRNA from 1 species